AUUGAACGCUGGCGGCAGGCCUAACACAUGCAAGUCGAGCGGAUGAAGGGAGCUUGCUCCUGGAUUCAGCGGCGGACGGGUGGGUAAUGCCUAGGAAUCUGCCUGGUAGUGGGGGAUAACGUCCGGAAACGGGCGCUAAUACCGCAUACGUCCUGAGGGAGAAAGUGGGGGAUCUUCGGACCUCACGCUAUCAGAUGAGCCUAGGUCGGAUUAGCUAGUUGGUGGGGUAAAGGCCUACCAAGGCGACGAUCCGUAACUGGUCUGAGAGGAUGAUCAGUCACACUGGAACUGAGACACGGUCCAGACUCCUACGGGAGGCAGCAGUGGGGAAUAUUGGACAAUGGGCGAAAGCCUGAUCCAGCCAUGCCGCGUGUGUGAAGAAGGUCUUCGGAUUGUAAAGCACUGUAAGUUGGGAGGAAGGGCAGUAAGUUAAUACCUUGCUGUUUUGACGUUACCAACAGAAUAAGCACCGGCUAACUUCGUG
rnacentral:rRNA from 1 species